UCAAGCAACAACUUCAUCACUCCCUGUCAAUCGCUUCAUUUUCAAAAUUUCUCGUUCUUCAUCUAAUAUUUCCAUUUCGUCCAAAAAUGGUGUGUAAAAUAAAUAAAAGAACAGUUCGACGGCCUCAUCAAUUCAGGUUGUGGUAACACGAUAACUCUCGACCAAAUUAUUAAGUGGUUUACUGAAGUUAAACUCUUGGACUCGAAAUUUACACAAGAUGAAGUAAAAUCGGCUUUUGAAAAAAUGAAGGUGAUCGAUCUCAACCACGACCAAUGCAUGACAUUUUUGGAAGAAUUAGCCCAAAUGAAAAGCAUGCCUCUGAGCGAAUUAGAAGACGAACUCGGAAAAUGUAAGGUUGCGGAUCUCGUUAAAGCGGCUGGAACUCCUGGAAAGAGCUGCAAAAGAACUGCCAAGUAGUGCUUCAACUCAUAUUAUUAUUAAACCGAAUGCUGCCAAAUUUCCGUCAAGUUUCUUCGGAAGAAUGACAAUCUAUUUAAUCUUAACGAGGUUCGGUGAAGUCGAACGACGUAUUCCGCCCAAACUGCUUUCAUGCCCAAAAGUAGCGAUCCACAAAAUAAGCUCCAAUUAAAUACAAAGAGGAAAAAGCAAAACAUGUUGAAGCUCUUUUAUUAAAAUUUGCUCUAAGCAGUAAGCCUUUAAUCCAGAUAGUAAGUUGUUUUCGACGAAAAUAAUUUGUUUUAUGCUCCCGACAAAAAUACAUUCGGCGGUCCUGGAAUAUUUCGUUUAUGGAAGUAUUAAAAGUAAGGUAAGAUCUGGAAAAAUACGGUCUGUUCGUUAUUGGAUGUUGAAAGCUUUACCGAAAAGCUUAUUAAAUUCUUCUUUCAAAGAAGUCCUUCCAUUUAUUCUUUGACGGCGCUGUACUUCUAUCUAAAAUUAAUAUUCGUAAUCAAAGAAGCAGCAUACGAGGCGCGGAACGAGAAAAAAAUCAUUGAAUUAUUAGUUUAUUCGAUCUGGAGCUGAUAUCUCUCUUCGGCGAUGUUGCAGCGAUAUUUCAGGAGCGUGACGUCCAUUAUAGCCGAGUCCUGGAAGAUACCACUAGAGGCGCGACCUCACGUACACUGUUACCCAUAAACCUCAUUUCAGGAAUAUUUUAUUGUGGGGAGUUUUAAGCUUACAUUUCACUGUAUUCGGAAGACAGGACGCGUAUGCAGAUUUGUGCUAAUUCCGGAAAAUGGCGCAAAUUAUGGCGGACUUCUGGGACGGAAAUAUGGGGCCUGCACGUCGCGCUAAAAAUUGAUAAUUAUGGAGGAACGUGUCCGAAGGAAAUUACCUCCAACAAUACGAAAUUAAAUCAAGCACACCUGAAGUUGGACUAUUAUCAAGUCUAAUUUUGCUGUAGAAUUUUUCAAAAUUAAUUAUUUUUUUAUUUAUCAUUAUUACUAUGUUUUUGCAAUUAA